rnacentral:lncRNA from 1 species
AUAGAUAAGAAUAAAAUGUUGCUUUGUUUUUAUUUUUAUAAAGCACAUCUUGGGACUUACUCUGUGCUUCUUCUAGACCAUAUGGUAUUCCUGGGUUUCAUAUCACACACAAAGAAUAAUUAUUCUGCUCACAAAGCAGCACCGGCUCGGAGACAAAGCUGAGACUUCUAACACUUGAAUAACAGGUGGCCAUCUCAUCACAGAAUAUGAGCAAGAUUAGUCAAGUGUAUCCUAGAAAACAGCUUCCCUCAUGGGAAAAAAGUGAGAGAAAGAGAAUUGGUGACUAUUCAACUAUACAUCGAAACACAAUAUUGCAAGCUGGACUUAGGUAAACAUUUUUUCACACCUAAGAGUUAGAGAAGUUUUUUAAAAUUUUCUUUAAAAAGACAUUUCAGAGAAAU